GGGGGGAUAUUGCACAAUGGGCGAAAGCCUGAUGCAGCGACGCCGCGUGGGGGAUGAAGGCUUUCGGGUUGUAAACCUCUUUCGCUAUCGAACAAGGCCCGCUUAGGGUGGGUUGAGGGUAGGUGGAGAAGAAGCGCCGGCUAACUACGUGCCAGCAGCCGCGGUAAUACGUAGGGCGCGAGCGGUGUCCGGAAUUAUUGGGCGUAAAGGGCUUGUAGGCGGCUUGUUGCGCCUGCUGUGAAAACGCGGGGCUUAACUUCGCGCGUGCAGUGGGUACGGGCAGGCUUGAGUGUGGUAGGGGUGACUGGAAUUCCAGGUGUAGCGGUGGAAUGCGCAGAUAUCUGGAGGAACACCGAUGGCGAAGGCAGGUCACUGGGCCAUUACUGACGCUGAGGAGCGAAAGCAUGGGUAGCGAACAGG
rnacentral:rRNA from 1 species